GGGGGGGGGGGGGGGGGGGGCUGGUGGGUGCGGGGCGGGGGGGCGGGCGGGGCGCUUUCUCCUCUGGCGUUGGCGGCGGGCGGGUGGUGAGCACGUGGAUAACCGCCCUGUAAGACUGGGAUAACUGCGGGCCACCGGAGCUAAUACCGGGUAAUAUAUUGGACCGCGUGGUUCUAUAGUGAGAUACGGUUUUGCUGUCACUUAUAGCUGGAUCCGCGCCGCAUUAGCUAGUUUGUAAGGUAACGGCUUACCAAGGCGCCGAUGCGUCGCCGACCUGCGAGGCUGAUCGGCCACACGGGAACUGAGACACCGUCCAGACUCCUACGGGAGGCAGCAGUAGCGAAUCUUCCGCAAUGGGCGGAAGCCUGACGGAGCAACGCCGCGUGAGUGAUGAAGGUCUUCGGAUCGUAAAGCUCUGUUAUUAGGGAAGAACAAAUGUGGACGUAACUAUGCACGUCGUGACGGUACCGAAUCAGAAAGCCACGGCUAACUACGUG
rnacentral:rRNA from 1 species